rnacentral:lncRNA from 1 species
CAAGGAAAGAAGUGGAGCGAAAGGGCAAAACAAGGAGGUGCAACGUUUAGGACAUCUAGGUGGCAUACAACGUCGAGAGGUUUUAACAUAUUUACGGCAGCAUCCGAGAAGAAGCUCAAGCUCCAAGACAAGAAAACCAUGCUUAAAGAUAAGGUGAAGAUCGCAACCGCUUCUAAGGACUCAAAGAUGCUGACCUCGAAAACAAAAGAUUUAGAUGAAGUCCCUCAGAUGCCCUCAUAUGAUCUCAAAAUGCUCACCUUGAAGACGAAAGAUUUAGAUGAAGACCCUCACAUGAUCGUGCAAGCGUCUGUUUUAAAAUGGGGAGUGCUCUGCGACGGUGCGCCGGCCGAAAGUCGCGCGCGGGCCGCACGAUCCACCAACCACCGCGCGUCCGCAUCGUUAGAUCUCCAUGC